GCUAUUUCUACUAUAUAUGAGUUCUAAAAUUUAGAAUGUGUACCUUUUUGAAUCGUUAAACCAGUAUUUCAAACUUCGGCGCUGACCAGUGCCGUUAGUCGUUAAGUGUGGGUAACGUUAACUUCUAAUGUUAUUUUGUCCCUGAGGGAAAAACAGGCUUACUUUAAGGAAAGUCGUUAGCUGGUUGUCUACGAUACUGUUAUUAAAUAUUAUUAUCAUUUGUGGUUUAAGAACUCAUAAAUUUAACAGUUAGCUCAGUUAAUGUUAAGUUCGAAUAUGUAGAUGUUGCCAACUUUACCGAACUUCGACGCAUAAUGCAGUGUUUUUAAUCAGUUUUGAUAUACAUAAUAGUAGGCGUCGUCUAAAAGCAAAAAAAAAAAAAAAAAUCAUAUUUUUCGAGGCGAGAUUGGAUGAAAAUUCUGAAUUUAGAAACAGACUCAUUAGGACCAGCGCUUAAAGUGACGCGCGAUUUGAAACGUUAUGUUCGUCUGCAUUUCUCCCUCUUCAAGCACUGGUUAUUACGCUUGUAUAAUGAAAUUCACUUAACUACUUUAAUUUGUCUGCAUGUUUUACUCUUUUACUUCCAGAUUUAGUCUUAUUGAGGGUCUGAAAUAUCGUUACAAUAAGUUCAGUGAGUGCUAAAACCAUGGUCAACAUGAAAGGUCAUAGUUAACGACCACAUCACCAUCUUCUGCAACGCUCUGAUGUUUGCUUCAUACAACUGCUUGAACAUUUCAUACCCAGGAAACCAAGGAGAAACGCAAGAGAUUGUGCAAAGAUUCCUUUUUAAGAUGAACCCCGAGAAGGGAUCGAAAGUGGAGAAGACCACAUCGAGAAAGAAAUCAGCAGUCAGUCCAAAGGUUCUUUCACUGAUUAACAAGAUUGCGGACUUUGAAAGGAUGGAGUAAAACUUGGAGUGUCAGAUCUUCCUACAUUGCCUAGCAGAAAUUCUUGACAGUGUCAAAGACUUAAAAUACUUGCUGAUUAUUUGCUUUCAUGGUUGAUUUUUUUUUUUUUUAAUGCAUCAUCUGUUGUCAAGAUUAAUUAAUCUGUUCACAGGUGGUUCAGUUUUAAGGACAAAUUAAUUCUUAUUUUUUAUUUGUUUACCAAUUUGCUAUAUUGUUGCAGUUUUGAACAAUUCUUUUGUGUGUUGUUGCAGUUAUUA